UACGAGGGGGGCAAGCGUUGUUCGGAAUUAUUGGGCGUAAAGGGCGCGUAGGCGGCGCCACAAGUCACUUGUGAAAACUCUGGGCUCAACUCAGAGCCUGCAAGCGGAACUGUGAUGCUGGAGUAUGGGAGAGGUGCGUGGAAUUCCCGGUGUAGCAGUGAAAUGCGUAGAUAUCGGGAGGAACACCUAUGGCGAAGGCAGCGCACUGGACCAUAACUGACGCUGAGGCGCGAAAGCUUGGGGAGCAAACAGG
rnacentral:rRNA from 1 species